rnacentral:rRNA from 1 species
UCUUGGUCAUUUAGAGGAAGUAAAAGUCGUAACAAGGUUUCCGUAGGUGAACCUGCGGAAGGAUCAUUAAAGAAAUUUAGUAAUUUUGAAAAUGGAUUUUUUUGUUUUGGCAAGAGCAUGAGAGCUUUUACUGGGCAAGAAGACAAGAGAUGGAGAGUCCAGCCGGGCCUGCGCUUAAGUGCGCGGUCUUGCUAGGCUUGUAAGUUUCUUUCUUGCUAUUCCAAACGGUGAGAGAUUUCUGUGCUUUUGUUAUAGGACAAUUAAAACCGUUUCAAUACAACACACUGUGGAGUUUUCAUAUCUUUGCAACUUUUUCUUUGGGCAUUCGAGCAAUCGGGGCCCAGAGGUAACAAACACAAACAAUUUUAUCUAUUCAUUAAAUUUUUGUCAAAAACAAGAAUUUUCGUAACUGGAAAUUUUAAAAUAUUAAAAACUUUCAACAACGGAUCUCUUGGUUCUCGCAUCGAUGAAGAACGCAGCGAAAUGCGAUACGUAAUGUGAAUUGCAGAAUUCCGUGAAUCAUCGAAUCUUUGAACGCACAUUGCGCCCCUUGGUAUUCCAGGGGGCGUGCCUGUUUGAGCGUCAUUUCCUUCUCAAACAUUCUGUUUGGUAGUGAGUGAUACUCUUUGGAGUUAACUUGAAAUUGCUGGCCUUUUCAUUGGAUGUUUUUUUUCCAAAGAGAGGUUUCUCUGCGUGCUUGAGGUAUAAUGCAAGUACGGUCGUUUUAGGUUUUACCAACUGCGGCUAAUCUUUUUUUAUACUGAGCGUAUUGGAACGUUAUCGAUAAGAAGAGAGCGUCUAGGCGAACAAUGUUCUUAAAGUUUGACCUCAAAUCAGGUAGGAGUACCCGCUGAACUUAAGCAUAUCAAUAAGCGGAG